ACAACUAAUUACGAGACGGUAAACAAAUUUGGUGCAUCGGGGGUUUUUUUGGCUCAAAGUUAUACUCCUCGUUUACUUGGCACGAUUACCGUUUGUUUUUAUUUAUUAUGGUUUUAUACAUACGCAUUCUGAGAUGUUCGAACUUGCCUUUGAAGAAUUUUCAGUUCGAACUGUGCUGUGAUCAGGUGAUCGGAUAUUUAACGUACCGAUAAUUGAGACGGAAAUAGCAUGAGAAGGCAGCCGAAGCUCCGGGCAUGAUCGAGUAAGUGGACGAUCGUUGUUCAUGGCUGCGAGUGUCACUGUCAGAUUUGAUUGAAUCGUGGUUGAUUAUUCCAGCACGAUUUCGUCUAAUAUGUGAUCGUCUGUGCUGAGUGAUGUUGGUGCAUACAGUGGUAAUGAAAAGAAAAUUGGCAACCAGUCAUCUACAAGACGCUGCAUUCAUAUAUACUGUAUGGAAAGGAACAAGAAAAUGGAGGUAGUUUGUCACCUUAAUUGAAGUGCAGUCGACAUAUAGCCGAGUUUACAGUUGACAGUUUAUAUCUUAUGGGUAGAGAAUUUGAACUAAUAAGGAAAGUCCCUGCAGGAAACAAAUCAGGUAUGAUGGCCGUGAUGAGAUAGUGCUGAAAUCUGCGACUAUUUCAAGCAGUCUUGCCUGUCCAGCAUUUACAGACAUGACAUUUGAAGCUCUAUCCAUAGUCAGUGUAGUGAUGGAACCCAUUCAUUUAUACACCUUUUCUGCAUAUGUUUGAAGCAAGAAGCACCUGUUGGACAGAACACAGUAAGCCUGUAAUGUCAAGGGCUAUGAGAGUUGAUUCUUCCAUCACAGCACUGCACCUAGAGGUUGUAACCUUUCUGGCAGACCACACUUUCUACUCGACACCUUUCUUCCAUCACAGCACUGCACCUAGAGGUUGCAACCUUUCUGGCAGACCACACUUUCUACUCGACACCUUUUCUGCAUAUGUUUGAAGCAAGAAGCACCUGUUGGACAGAACACAGUAAGCCUGUAAUGUCAAGGGCUAUGAGAGUUGAUUCUUCCAUCACAGCACUGCACCUAGAGGUUGUAACCUUUCUGGCAGACCACACUUUCUACUCGUGUCAGUUUCACAUACAUACUCAACCAUGAGGGAGAUAUACCUUGCAGACAAUCAACUGAUGCAAUUCUGGUUGAUCUUACAAAUAUCAUUAUACAGGUAGAAGUUAAAGGAGAAUGAAACCAUUGGAACAAGAUAGCUUGUGUGAAAACAGAAAAAGCAAAGAAACAGAUCAACGAA